GCUGUCUGUCCUUGGAUCAGUAUGGACCAGCGUGAUGAUGACUCCGGCCUCAUCGACGAGCUGCUUGCUCUCAGUUUAAGGAACUUUAGGAUGUGAAUGAACACGUCCUUCCAAGAUCCACCUGCUAGACUCACCUGGGAAGACGAUGGGAAGCAGUGAGGUCCUGGGCCCCCGAGAGCUGGUGUGUUCCCCCUCCUCCGGCACUACAAGAGCAGUGUGCCUCUACUGUGGAAAUACAGACCAUUCCUCUUCAAAGAAGAAUCCUCAGAGAAUCUCACCUCCAGAAGCAUCCACUGCCCACACCUGAGUGCCCGCCUCCCCUGCAGGGACGCCAGGGACCCGAGAUCCCAGUGGACGGCCAAGACUGUGGAGAGCAUCACAGCCCAGAUACUGUCCAUGUGCUUUUCAUGUACGUGCAUUCCUAGGAUACCAUUUAGCUAUGAAUCAGGUAAGUCAGAGAUCUGAAACAAUAGCUACAAUAAAACACAACUGUAAUGGUCAACUGUAAAGGCAGUUAGGUGACCAACCCCCCAUCGUGUUGGACACUGCACACAUCCGGAUCUACCGCUGCAUGUGAGGAACCCCACUCCUCUAUACUUCUCAGGACCAAGGCGCAGACCCUGUUUCUUUCCCUUUGUUUUCAGUGCAGGAGAUUAACCUGAGGCCUCACCCAUGCUAGGCAAGCCCUCCGCCACCACUCACCCUGAGCUGCUCCCGGAGCAGUCAGGCUCCUUAAAGCUGCCAUUUCAAUCUGCAGCCAUGCUGUUAACAUCUCCACGCUUUAUCAAAUCCCCUCUCCUGCAGCAGCCCGGGGAGACGUCCCUGUGCACGGACAUUGCUGGUAUUUACCCUUCGCCGAUUUCUCACUUUCUACUCUUAUAAACAAAGAGCCAUGAACAUCUGUCCAGCCGCAUCUGUGCACGCAGUCACUUCCUCAGGGCCCUGUCUCAGAAGGCGAUGGCUGGAUUAAAGCACGCGGCCUACGGCUUUCUAAAAAAUUACCAGGGGGCAAGUGAACUUUUAAAAACCAGUAUUGUUUCCAAACAGAAGGGAAAGACUCACGGCUCAGGACGCACCAUGGAUGGGGGGACAGGGUGCAGACAGGAGGUGCCUGACUGCCGAGGGGACCAGAGCUGAGGUCCGGGUCCGCGGGGCAGGUGUGGCUGGGCACAGGGCAGGUCCUCAGGGCAGGCCUGGCUUUCUCCUUGGCGUCUGCUGUGUGCCCUCAUCAGCACAUUGCCAGAGUUCUCAGGGUGGGGCCUGGGCCCACAGCCUUGGGACAGACACCUGACUGGCGGCAGGGGGUUCAACCCCCCAACACACACAGCCGACUCGCUGCUCUGAUCAGAGCCCUGCAUGGGCUCCUGCAGAGAGGGCAGGUUCCCAGCAGCAGGCAGUAGCCCCUGAAGACAGACAAAGAUAAUGUGCCCAGCACAGUCCAAACCCGGGCUCGGGCACUGCUCCCCUAGUGGUCUGUGGAAUCAGUUAAGGGAAAACCAACUGGCAGCCUGUCGGAGCCACUGCGCCGUGACAGCCCUGUGCCCAAGCACCGGCACCGGCUGAGCUCUUCCUGCCGUAACCUGCUGUCUGCAUGUCUAUCAUGACAAAGUUCACACUUGGUAAAAUCCACCAUGUGGCUUUUAGUUGCAACAAACGUGCACAGUUGUUCAAGCGCCACCUCUCUCAGGAUGCCGGCAAUUCCACCGCCUUCCUGAGCUGCAGUCCCUCACCUCUCCCGGCCUUUGGAUCAGGAAGACGCGGGCAGCAGCUCACCCACACGAGUGUCGCUUUGAUGACGUCUGCACGGAAAGAGCAUCUCACAGCUACCUCCGUCCGGUCCACAGUCUGCUCAGAUGUGGGAAUGGCGGGAGGAAUGCGUGUGUGUCGAAUGCCAGCAACACUAAUUCAGCAAAAUUGCCUUCAGAACCCACCCAAGCACUCUGCCGCCUGCCAGCGAGCGUCUCACAGCCCCUCGCCCCGGGAGCCCACCCAGGUCGUGUCAACGGCCGCCUUCCAGAGCUGCGGGGUGGAGCGGAGCUGCUGUCCGGUGGCAGGAUGGGGACAUCAGGAGGACCGGGAGGACCCAGCUGGUGCAGAGCAGGGCUCCUGCAGAGGGUGCGGUGCGGGUGGAGGGAGGCAGCCCCAUGAACGUGGGGUGCAGAGGCCAGCACCAGGCACUGCGGGCGUCCUGCAGCAGCAGGGCCACGGCAGAGCGCUCUACUGUUGCCCGUCAUUCCCUGCAGUUCUCAAAGAGGGGCCUGUUUUAAAGUGGAGAAGACGCGGGACUGCCUGCCAGGCGCCUGGCUGGGGUGCCAUCUAUGUUCCUGGGCAUCACAUGGGUGUCUCAGGCAACCCCCACACUCCCCUCGGCCCCAGAGACUGAUAUAGCCUCCUCCGCAGCUGUCACAGUAUGCUCUGAGGGCUCCGUGUCAGGUAGCACACACAAUCCACGCAGAAUAGUCAGGAAGCAUUGCUGGCCCUUCCCACAGAUGAGAAGACUGAGGCCCAGGGAAGGCGCUUUACAGAGCUCACUGCAGGCAGUGAAGAGGCUGCGCUGCGCCAGGGUCUGUGAUUUUAACCGCCUCGCACCCCCGCUUGAGAGCCGGACGUGGUGGGGAGGCAGAAAAACAGGCUGGAAAACCCAGAUGUGGAGUUUGCUUAUCUACAAAGACAGACAUUCUCCCCGAAGGACAGAAGGAGGCUUCUGAAUCUGCAUGCGAACAUCACAAACACAGCCCAACUCAAACACAGAUGCAGGACUUAGGCAUGUGGCUCCCAAGAUGCCCAAAGCUUCCUCCUCAGGUGGGAAGGUGCCCACUGUCGCUGCUGACCGGGGAAGCGCAGGUCACAAUCCCGAGGACACGCUGCCUCGCACCCAAGGGUGUUGGCAAGGAGGAACCAGGGAGACAGCUCA